GACGAACGCUGGCGGCGUGCUUAACACAUGCAAGUCGAACGCUGAAGCUUGGUGCUUGCACUGGGUGGAUAAGUGGCGAACGGGUGAGUAAUACGUGAGUAACCUGCCCUUGACUCUGGGAUAAGCCUGGGAAACUGGGUCUAGUACUGGAUACGACAUGUCACCGCAUGGUGGUGUGUGGAAAGGGUUUUACUGGUUUUGGAUGGGCUCACGGCCUAUCAGCUUGUUGGUGGGGUAAUGGCUCACCAAGGCGACGACGGGUAGCCGGCCUGAGAGGGUGACCGGCCACACUGGGACUGAGACACGGCCCAGACUCCUACGGGAGGCAGCAGUGGGGAAUAUUGCACAAUGGGCGGAAGCCUGAUGCAGCGACGCCGCGUGAGGGAUGACGGCCUUCGGGUUGUAAACCUCUUUCAGCACGGAAGAAGCGAAAGUGACGGUACGUGCAGAAGAAGCGCCGGCUAACUACGUG
rnacentral:rRNA from 1 species